rnacentral:lncRNA from 1 species
GGUGAAUUAUUUUUGAUUUUUGCUCUAUUAAGUACCACAGGAACAGAAGAAUUGCCGUAUUUUAGCAGACCACUAGACAGAUGGGCCCAUUACUGUUUCUUGCUCAGUGGCCAGUACCACAUUUCAAAGAAAGGUUCAACAAAAUGAUGUAGUAACCCACCCACAGGAGUAGCUCUUCUAAACUUCCAGCAACUGAUACCUGAUUUAUGCCUUCAGUGGGGGCAAUGAAAACCCCAAAUGGCUUCACACAUCUCUUCCCACAAUGACUUUUGAGUAUUUGACAGCCUGCAGACCAGCUUUGGGAUGAACUCACAUCUUGUGGUUUUGGUUUUGAUUUUAUUUUUUAAAGAAAAGUUAGUGGCAUUUCAGGUAUUUAGUUGGUUGCUUCAGGAGAAGAACACCUGUAUUUAUCUCCGUAACAGAUGCUAGAACGGCAUUUUCCUCACACUGGAGGAAAAAGGGAUUUUACCUGAAAGGAAAAGAGAUUUUCCUCACACUGUUCUAUACGGAUAAUUUAACCACAGUAUUGACAGAGGGAAUUAAGUCAAGUCCAUCUCAUCUCCUCAUUUUGGCUUCUCAAACUCCAGUCCUUAUUCAAUGGGCCCAGAGCACAACAGGGUUUAAUGAUACAGCUACAUUCUCACUUUUAGUAAAUGGGUUAAGACUAACAGCUGAUUUUAUGUGUAGGAAUGACAUCUGCCAGUUGCUAAGCACGAUUAUCUUUCAGUCACUAGUAUGCAGAAUUGUCUUCAUUAACAAGUAAAAAUCUUAUGGGAUUUUUAAUUGCCCAUAAAUUUUUUUCUCCUAUGAUUCAAUUUUCACUUGGGUAUUUAAUACUGGUAAGACUGUAAACUCUAUUAAUUUGGUCAUGAGUAGCAUAUCUUGAGGUGUUUGAGUGCUCUUACUGAGGUUUUUCUGGUGUUCAUUUACACUAUUCCAGAUUUUAUUUAGUGGAUCAUGAUUUUUUUUUCUGUAUUUUUUUUAGUAUGGAUGUAAUUCAUUUGGCAACACUACUUAGGCAUGGAUGGCUGAUGGACCAAUACAAGUCAUUGGCUACAGAGAAGGUUAAUCAGAGAAAUGUUCUCAUUAACCUGAAUCUGAUUCUCCUCUUCAUUACUGAAAACUAGAUCAUUUUCACUAUGCAGCUUCACUGAUUAAGAAGGGAGACAACAGCACAAGGAGAGAGAGCAAGUGUGCAGCCCUGGGAAAGGCCAGGAUUGGGUACCAUGCUUCAGCCACAGCAGGGAGCCAGCUGCACGAGUGGAGCCCUCAGCAAGCACCACCUGAACCGAGCACAACACGUCCCUACCCAGUGGCCAGCGUGAGAAACAGCAUCUUGCCAAGUAAUGAAAAAUAAAAGUAAUCUGCUUUUAGACUGUGAAAAAUUGUCUCAAGUCAGCUGGAAGGAAGAAGACAGAAACCACCAUCUUUCUAUCUUAAGAGAUUUUCACAAUUGGAGACUCAUAAUCAGCACCUCAGCAUAUGGAUGCAAAGGUUAACCUACAAAGAUGCCCACAAUGCUAAGAGCGAGGAGGGUCAGCCAGGCUCCACUCCUGUACUAUCAGCCCACCUCUGGAAAUGGGCCUGGCCCAUACAAAGGGAGGAGGACAAGUGUAACAGUAUGCAUUCAUAUUCUAUUAAUAUUCAUAGACAUUUGCCUUUUCAUGCUAAUAGGCUUGUAAUGAUUUUGCAUAGGAGAAUGCCCUGUCUAAGGAAAGAGGGGAUAACUCAAAAUAUGGGGAAAAUAAUUUAAUGUAACUGUGUAGCAUGACAUUGAAAUUUAUAAUGUAACUUGUACUGCCUCAGUUAUGAAAUGCUCUUGUCCUUAUUCUGUUCAGUACAGCUUAGCACUCAGCUGAAAGACUGCUAAUAACUGCUCCUCUUUAACAUGCUCACUAACAGCAUUAUUUUGCAGCCCAUUUUCAGUGCACACCUCAAUUUAGAAAUGGACUCUGCUGCUGGCUGCCAGCAGGUAUCCCUUCGACAUACAGGCAGUGCUAAGCUUCACUAAGGCUGGCUUUACAUGGAGCUGUAGGAAUGAGGAGAUGUGUGUGUGUGUGUCUUGGCUUCACUACAGCAGCAGCAAACGUGAAGCACCAAAAAUCAGGAGUGCAACAGAUAAAUAAAUGAAUAUAGAAGAAAACUACCCAGCUGCUGCCUUGUUCCUGUUUGCCCUGUCUUAUGAAAGAACAGAGAAACUCUAUAUUGCACCUUUAUGGGGAGAGCAGAGGUAUGGGACUUAUAAGCUUCACAUUACAUGAGGAGGAAUUGCUCUCCUGAUCCAUCAGACAGGUAAAUUGUAUUGCAUUUAACCGGCACAAGUGGGAUAUUGGAGAAAACAACCCAUUAAAUUACCAUUUACUAGUCCAAGAGAUACAUACCCAGAUCACAAAAGUGUGAGGGAACAAGUUUAACUUUGGGAAGAUGACAGCAUCACCUGGUUCUGGGUGAGUCACAAAGCUUAGAAAAGUCCCUUUAAAAUCUCCUAAUUUGUUACUGCACAGGCCAUAUGCUGCAUACCAGUGGUACUGUGGAUGCUGUGGGGAACUUGAAAAUGAAGGCUCAAAAACAUCUCCUGGCAGCUGUGGUUAGACCCAAAAGGAUAGGGUUAGACCCUCCAUCCACUGACCACCUCAGGGCUACCUUCAUGGGGAUUGCAACGUCAGCCCUAGUGCUGCCAGCUCUGCAAGGGUAUCUCAUGGUGGCUGUGACCUCCUCAUGUCUCCAAAUGGCCAUCACAGAGGGUGUUUGUGGGCUGGUGGCAUCCAUCUUAUGAGAAAUGCUAUUGAUGGUAUGAUUUUUAAGUUGUACGACCAAAAAAGUCUUGAAAAGCUACUACUGAAAUGGAGCUCUUGCAAACAGCCAGUUUUCCCCAGGAUAAUGGCAUCCAACAUAUUAAUAUAUGAGAAAAUGUGGAACAAAGACAGAUCUUGCAGUGCUGCAGUGGUUCUUUCAACACAGGAAUGCAAGUGCGACUGGGGAAAGCGCAGCAUUGAGAUUGAUGGUGUGGUGGGCCAUUGUAGCAGCAUCGCCUUCUUAUCUGGCUGUAGAAAUAACAGAUCUAAUUUGGAUUCUGUGUGUCGGGGACUCAACCCCAGGCUGUUUCUGCCAGAUGAGUUGCACAGAUGUGAAGGUAAUGGUUAUUGCAGGUAAGGAUGCUGCUGUGCGGGGCCGGGGCUUUCAGUCUCUCCUGACUAGAGCAGAAAUUCCACUUUCUCGAAGGAAAAUGAUCUUUGUCUCAUCUCUCUCAUUUUGCUCUCAACAGACUUCUGUUUAAAGUUCCUUUUUUGAUGAACUGGCAUUCUAUUUUAUUUUAUUUUAUUUUAUUUUAUUUUACUUCAUUUUCUGAAAAGAAUACGUACUGUUGAAAACUUUCCAGUCAGCAGUACCCGGGAUAAUUUAAAAAACUUCCAAAAGAGAUGGCUCUGCUGGCAGCACAGCAUGGGGUCAGAAAACCCUCCAAGACUGGAAGAUGCCUUCAGAGGCCAUGUGGUGCUGCAGGGCCCCCAUGGUGCCAGGAGCGGGCAGCGCACAGCAAUUCCUGCAGCGGGAGCACAGCUCACCCCGGGCUAUCCCGAGGCACUGCACACUUGUGCUAGAGUGAUUAAAACCGGUCUGGUUUUGCAAUGAGGAAAGGAGAUUCGAGAAGAAAUCCAAAGCAGUGUGGGUUAGUGCUUUGCCUCCUGCAGCACCUUCUGCUCAUAUCUGUAGUCUAAAAUCACCACUAACAAACGUGAAAUGUGUAUCAGAAAAUUUUGCAGACACUGCAAGUGAGCCAAGUGUCCAAAAUAAGUAUCCAAAGGGAGUACUCGAGUGUUGUCUGUUCAUUUGUGUUGAAGGUAAGGUCAUUACAUAUUGUGCUUUUCUCCAACUUACAAUCUUGAAAAUUUGUUAAGUCACAUUUGGUACAUACUUAAGAAUUAGAUCCAAAAGCACAUCUAUGAUCAUCUAAAAAUCCCUCUAAACACUUACAUUUACAUGUGCAAAACAAAAGAAACACUUGGUACCUACGUAGUUUUUUUUUUACUCAAUGAUAUAAAAGCAAUGGGUCUUUCCAUCCUUCUAUAAAUUACUAAAAAAAAAAAUAAAGUAUAAAGUGCUGAUCAGGUUUUCCUCAAAGCUCAGGAGCAGCAAGGAUAAAAACCAAACCCACAUUCCUGGCAGAUAUAAACACUAAAAUUCACCUAAAAGGGGAAUGAAAAUCUUAAAAUCAACUCUCUUUGACAGUUAAAAUUUUUAAUCUCAGAUGGUAACCCACUUCUGAACUAUGAAUAGACUCAAAUUUUCACUCAGAGGGUGGUGACACACUGGAACAGGUUGCCCAGGGAGGUUGUGGAUGCCCCAUCCCUGGAGGCAUUCGAGGCCAGGCUGGAUGUGGCUCUGGGCAGCCUGGUCUGGUGGUUGGUGACCCUGCACAUAGCAGGGGGGUUGAAACUCGAUGAUCAUUGUGGUCCUUUUCAACCCAGGCCGUUCUAUGAUUCUACGAUUCAAAUUACGAGAUAAUGUCACUAAUGGGAAAGGGUCACAUGACAUCUGUAUUUUUACUACUUUACUUCUAGAUUUCAGCCAAAUUGCAUGACAAAGCUAUGGCUUCUGGUGAUACCUCCUGUAUGUUAUGGGCUUAUAUAUACUUUAGCAACAAUACUUCAGCAGCAGGGUUUUGUAGAUUAAUGCAAAUUUUCACUCUGUUAAAAUCCAUAGAUUUUAGAUCUACAUGUAUUUAUUUGUUCACAUAUUUCUAUGGGAGGAAAAAUCUUACCUACUCAGAUUCUUUUCGUUUGUAUUUUCAUCAAAAAAUGAAUUAAUUUACACUGAGUUUGUUCAUAUAAAAUAUAUUUUUUUGUUAUUGUCACACAGAAACUCUUGCAGAAAUGUUCUUGGCUAAACUAUUGCAUUUCUGCUCUAAGCUGGGAGGAAACAGGAGGAGGAGAAGGGAAAAGACUAUCAGGGAGGAAUGUCUCUCCUCUUCUUCUUGCUUUGGGUGCAUGACCAUUACCCAUCCUGGGAUGCUGAAGAUCUUGAUUCAAACAAGACCUUCUUACCUUCAAGCUUCUUACCUUCAAGCUUAUCCAACUACUGGACACUGGCUGAAAAGGACUCCAGAAUUUCCUCUAAUAAAAUGAUUUUAUAUUGUCAUUUUAGAUAAUUAUACAUUGACAUAAGGAUCUCACUCUGAUUUUUCUGAGCCUCAGGUGAACAUGCUUCCCUCCAGCUUUUCUCAGGCUUUUAAACCUGUUUGUGGGAAACUUCCCAAGGUCUUCUGUUUCCCUGGUUGUGCAAUAUAAAACAUUUUGGACUCAUAAAUCUGGAGAGAGAAAAUAUUUUCCAUUCAGCCUUAGAAAUUAUUAUUAUUAUUAUUAUUAUUAUUAUUAUUAUUAAGCUCAAUUUUAAGGGUAGCUAAGAGAUAGAUAAUUCAUUCCUGAAGGUUGUCUUCUCAUGGAGUAAUUGAUGUACAAAUGUUAGCACAUUAAACAAACUCUGCUGCAGACAGCAGGCCUGUAAAUAGACUGGAAAGAAAAAAAAGAAUGCUGGGAAAUGCCUGCCAUGAAAUUAAUUACGUGUUUAAAUAAGAGGAACUGAUUUCUGUAAAACCAUGAGUGCUUUUUAAUCUUCCAGAGUAGAUCGGAGAUUCAGUCCUCAAGUGGAAGAAAUCCUAGAGGGCAGCUCUAAUGAGUCAGUAAGUAAAGCACAUGGGCUGGUGAAUAAGAAGGCAAUAUCUGUUUUACAGAUAUGUAGAGACAGCUGUAUGUCUGUAAUACAUUCAUCAUGAGGCAGUAUGGCACUCACACAGCAGCACUUUGGCCCCCUGUCUUGAAGAAUAUUCAGAUUUCACUGUUAUCGCAGCGUAUUGCGUGUCCUGCUUUGUGUCACUGCACACUCAAAAUAUCACCCAAGCUUGUAAUUGGUGUGUGUCAGGGUAUUUCUUUACACUUAAACAAGCACAGGUCAGAUUUUCAAAGUGUGUCAAUAUGUCAGGCUGGCUGCAUAUGAGUCAAUGGGACCGAGUUCCUUUAUACUGGCUAAGGAUUUGGUCCUGCGUAUUUAAAAAUAGACUAAUGAGGGAAGGACCCAUCCACCUACUGAAAGGUUUUAUGACCUACUUCUGCAGCUCUCCUCUUCGUUGUUCAGGGAAGCUCUGCUGGGUUUCUGCUUCUUAAUCUCCUUGGCCUCCCCUAAAUCGCUCACAAAAGCAAAUUCCACCGGAGAGAGAGACAGCUGUUUCUGCAUAUAUUAAUAAUAUGCAGCUCUAUAAAUUAUUAAUAAAAGUUACCAAUGACUUUGAGUUAUGGUGCAGUAAUUCACACUUAGCUGUUUAGAUGGCUCUCAGCCUUCAUCCUGGUGUUCCAUUAUGCACCUGGUAUGAAUGAUUACGUUGGAAUUCAGAUUGUUGUUUCUAGUUGCUGAAAUUUAGCGCUGUGCAUACUGGACUGGAUCACAGAGAUGAUUAUGGCAUGCCAGAAAAGCUCUGCACACCACAUGGAUGGAUGCAAUCAAAACAGUUGAUUUUUCAGAUCGGUCAGUGACACAGCUCUGGGAAUUCUGGUGGUUGUGUACUGAAAAAGCUUAGUCCUCUGCCAUGAUAGGCACCUAGAGCUGGUUCAGAAAGAUGUUUAAACUCAUUUAAACACAUGUGCAGACAUGUACCGAGAUUGAGGGAAGGAAGGAGGGAAGGAAGGAAGGAAGGAGGGAAGGAGGGAAGGAAGGGGGGAAGGAGGAAGGAAGGA